AUUGAACGCUGGCGGCAGGCCUAACACAUGCAAGUCGAACGGUAACAGGGAUCAGCUUGCUGAUUCGCUGACGAGUGGCGGACGGGUGAGUAAUGUCUGGGAAACUGCCUGAUGGAGGGGGAUAACUACUGGAAACGGUAGCUAAUACCGCAUAACGUCGCAAGACCAAAGAGGGGGACCUUCGGGCCUCUUGCCAUCGGAUGUGCCCAGAUGGGAUUAGCUAGUAGGUGGGGUAACGGCUCACCUAGGCGACGAUCCCUAGCUGGUCUGAGAGGAUGACCAGCCACACUGGAACUGAGACACGGUCCAGACUCCUACGGGAGGCAGCAGUGGGGAAUAUUGCACAAUGGGCGCAAGCCUGAUGCAGCCAUGCCGCGUGUAUGAAGAAGGCCUUCGGGUUGUAAAGUACUUUCAGCGGGGAGGAAGGGAGUAAAGUUAAUACCUCUGCUCAUUGACGUUACCCGCAGAAGAAGCACCGGCUAACUCCGUG
rnacentral:rRNA from 1 species